UACGUAGGGGGCUAGCGUUGUCCGGAAUCAUUGGGCGUAAAGCGCGUGUAGGCGGUCCGGUAAGUCCGCUGUGAAAGUCGGGGGCUCAACCCUCGAAAGCCGGUGGAAACUGUCGGGCUAGAGUGCGGAAGAGGCGAGUGGAAUUCCUGGUGUAGCGGUGAAAUGCGCAGAUAUCAGGAGGAACACCAAUUGCGAAGGCAGCUCGCUGGGACGUGACUGACGCUGAGACGCGAAAGCGUGGGGAGCAAACAGG
rnacentral:rRNA from 1 species